CAAUUAUCUGCUUGAGGCUGUUGGCUCAAAUGUGUAGUUUGUUAAACAACACUCUACAAGGAGUUAGAAAAACAAAAUUGCAUUAGAGACUCGGUGUGUCUUUUACAGAAAAGCUCAAAUGUGGUUUGAUCCAAUCUGCAAUGCUGCAGACUGGGAGAUGGCCUGUGAAGUUUUGUACUGACAGACCUAGAUAAAAUUUUAGAAGAGAAAAAUCUGAGCAACUGCAGCUGUCUGGCAUUCCCCAUUAUCCAGUUUCCAUGGAUACAAGCAUUAGAAAUUUUGAAGUCAGAAAGACUAAGAAAAGGAGAAAAAUCGUAAUACUUACAGGAAAAUUGGUUUCAAGUUACAUAGAUUAUCUUGCAACCACAAAAAGAAAACCAAAAAAAAAAAAAAAUCCACAAAAGAACAAAGCUAGCCUUCUGUCUGGGAAAAACAAACACACCAAUGAAGCAAAACCACAACAGAGAAAGCAAAUGGGCUUUUUGGACAGCUGUAUAUGGUACGUCUUGGCCCAUUUCUGGUGACCCCAGAAUACAAUACUCUAAGACAAAUUCUGAAUAAAACUAGAUCAUUUUAUUAAACAAACAAUAUUGGAUAGGAAAACAAAAACAAGAUUCAAACCAAUCAAAUGAAACACAAAGUAAGACAGUGUGCUGCCAAUGCAUAAGGAAGAAAUCUUUAUAAUUCAUAUGCCUACAUGACUCAUUGGAAAUACUUACCACAGUGAAGUAAAUAAUAGGAGUAAGCAAAAAAUGGCUGCAAGCAGGUAACUUCUGAAGACAAAGGAGAAUGAAAAUCUGAAAGAGGAGGCGUACUCUUGAAGGUAAACUUCAUUACAAGCUUUGUUAACUGUUAUUUGUUUUUUGCGUACAAGGAAGUUUCAUUUGAAACCGCUCAUUAUUCUUUCAGUACCAUUGCAUAACCAGACCUAACGCCUUCUUUUUGUGAUAAGAAAAACAAUGUAAUUCAGCUUUCUCAAAAUGUGGGAAAACAUGACUAAAUGCAAGGAAGGAAGGUUUGGGUUUUUCUACUCAGACACUCUUUUCUCGGAGAUUAAAAAAUGCUGCAAAGUUAUCCAAGAGAGAUAUCUUUGCUAAUUUACUCUGAAAUUCAUUUCAAACUACAAUGGAUUUUUCAUUAUAGAUAUACCAAUUACUAAUUGCACUGAGAAGAGCUGAUGAGCUCGUAAGAUGCUUCAUGACAGGAGAGUUGCUAACUCCAAAGUGACUUACAAUUUGUAAUUCAGAAAUUCAAAGCCCACGUCCAGUAGCCAGCCAAACCCACGGCUCUAAUAAACUCUCCAAAUAAAUGAUUGGUCUUAGAAUCUUACACCAAUUUCCUUCAUACUACAUAAAUGGAGUACUUAUACUGUAGUGGCUUCAGAUU
ensembl:lncRNA